GAUGAAGAACGCAGCGAAAUGCGAUAAGUAAUGUGAAUUGCAGAAUUCAGUGAAUCAUCGAAUCUUUGAACGCACAUUGCGCCCUCUGGUAUUCCGGGGGGCAUGCCUGUUCGAGCGUCAUUAUAACCACUCAAGCUCUCGCUUGGUAUUGGGGCUCGCGGUUCCGCGGCCCCUAAAAUCAGUGGCGGUGCCUGUCGGCUCUACGCGUAGUAAUACUCCUCGCGAUUGAGUCCGGUAGGUCUACUUGCCAGCAACCCCCAAUUUUUACAGGUUGACAUCGGAUCAGGUAGGGAUACCCGCUGAACUUAAGCAUAUCAAUAAGCGGAGGA
rnacentral:misc_RNA from 1 species